UACGUAGGGUGCAAGCGUUGUCCGGAAUUAUUGGGCGUAAAGAGCUUGUAGGCGGUUUGUCGCGUCUGCUGUGAAAUUUCGGGGCUCAACCCCGAACUUGCAGUGGGUACGGGCAGACUAGAGUGUGGUAGGGGGAGACUGGAAUUCCGUGGUGUAGCGGUGAAAUGCGCAGAUAUCAGGAGGAACACCGAUGGCGAAGGCAGGUCUCUGGGCCAUAACUGACGCUGAGAAGCGAAAGCUGGGGAGCGAACAGG
rnacentral:rRNA from 1 species